ACUAAAUUUAUGAAUUGAAAGGAAUUUGUGUGUAAUUGGCGGAAUCGAUGUUAUAUCGGCGUGAAAGCUCGAACCCUAUUUCCCCUCUAUGUAAAUAUGUCAGUUGUGUACAUAAUAGAUAUGAGUUAGGCUGAAUUCAGAAAUAUAAUUUAUUAGGCACUUUGAUCCUGACUAGCUAUCCAAGCAGACGUUUUUUAAGUAACUUGAGCUAAAAGAAAGUGUCCCAUUUAAAAGUAAGUAUAAAUCUUAAAGUGGUGACGAGUGCAAAUCGGUUUCCUUUAGUUUUCGCGUGUGAUAUUGUUCCACGAGUUGUUCUUGGUUCUUCGCUGCCUUGGAGGGCACCCGCGAAAACUCCGAUAGGAAGGGCUCAAUUUAAGUUCACUGUUCUAGCGAUCCACUGGGACGUCCAAAAUUUUUGGAAGCGCGAGUUUUUUUUAUAUUCUGGACAAUAGUUUAAUAGCCGGUCGCAAGCGACGCUUUGGGGGCCCAACCCGGAACGCGAAGCAAAUUCUGCUCAGACGUGUGAGUCAAUUCCUUAAAGUAAAUCUACGUUGGAUAAGAGCUUCUGGCUGAAGUACGGGCUACAUACAGUGAACGGAAUUUUCGGUUCAAAAGAUCGCGAUCGGCUCAGUAUUAAUCUCGGCUCACAGGGGGCAGAUUAAGAUUGCAAAUGAGCCGGAACGCAGACGCAAUGUGGUGUUUCAAUUGGAGGAGGAGAUGCCUGAUCAUGUACCAGGUCGAGGUACAAAGAGAAGUUUUGACGAUUCCGACGACGAUACACCAUUCAAAGGUUUCUCACCUGUUCCACCACCAGCCAUAAGCGAAAGACACCCGGAAGCGUUGCAUUCGAAUGAAUCGGCAAGAGCCAGUUAUGAUAGUAGCGCUAUCGAAGUUGCUACAUUGCGGAGAUCUUCAAGAGCGAGAAAGAAAAAGUACGGGUGUGUAGUGUCAGAGACAUAACUGGAUGUCGUGAAUACGAAUAAAACUGACACGAUUUCUGUACACUUUCGAAUUCGAAUUGAUAGUUGAUCGAUUGUGUGAAUUGCGAAACUUUCCCCCUUUUCACUGCUAAAAUUUUCAACGAUUUUUGACGUCGAUUAUCUCAUUUUAGAUUUGCAUAUUUCAUUGAAAGAAACUAUUAAGGUGCUGUACACGAUUCAUUUCUGCCUUUUAGAAGGACCAAAUUGUGGGAUUCUCUACGAUAUUUAGCAAAGUUCGGAACAUUUUUCUCGAACGAUUAAUCUUAAUAGUUCUUUAGAUAACAUUUAGAGCCAUUAGAACAGCUGAUUUCAUAUAAUGUUGUCCACUUUUCGUUUCUUGUUUUCUUUCUCUCCAAUGCAAACCAUCAGCAGCUGAUGCAAUCGCUCUUGCUUGAAUUAAAACUAGCUUUGCGUACAAACCGACACAUCCGCUCGCACUGCCAAAUGAUGCAAAACUGGUUUAAUGCGUCUUCCCGACCCGACUUCUGCUUUCAUCCAACGCACAAGAAGAAAUGAUCGAUUUUCGACCACGGUUCCCCUUUUAUAACGUUUAGUUGAAGCCUGACUACCUCAAAAUCGUCGUACUUGCGCGAAAAACUCAAGCAAAAGGAGAGUUUUUCUCGUUGUCUUAAAAUUUUCAGGAAACCUAAUUUUUGAGUUGUUUGUGGUUAUCUCACACUGUUCAAAAUAUUAUCCAAAAUUCCUGAUCAUAUUUUUGAUGAAAUAGUGGAAGAAUUAUGUUGCUGCCAUUAAUACAAGUCGAGAUAUUAACGAUUAAUUUCUGCCCAUUCUUCCAUUUGGCUAAUUAUGAAAAGGCGCCCCGUAGUAAAGUAAGUCGUAUUCACGACAAAAAUAUGAAGGUGAAUAUUUAUACUUUAAGUAAUAAUGAAUUAAUGCCAUUGAAAAGAACGUCGAAUAUCAGUAUUCGUUAAAUUUUCAUAAUCUCUGAAAUGUAAUUAGAUUAUGCUUUGUUCAAUUUCAAUUGUUUAAUCAUAUUGGUUAUUCGAAUAGCUUUAGGGAAAAGAAUUUGUAAUUAACUAAAUUUAUGAAUUUAAUGGAAUUUGUGUGUAAUUGGCGGAAUUAUAUCGGCGUGAAAGCUCGAACCCUAUUUCCCCUCUGUGUAAAUAUGUCAGUUGUGUACAUAAUAGAUGUGAGUUAGACUGAAUUCAGAAAUAUAAUUUAUCAGGCACUUUGAUCCUGACUAGCUAUCCAA